UUUUGAGUGAAAUCCAAUCCCUACAAUUAUGCAAUUCACCAACCACUCCAUUUCAUAACGAACUUCGUACGAACCUAUAUUGUCCAAUUUCAUGGACCAAUCGAUAUCGGAUUGAGUCCAAAACUUCGGGAACGUCAUAAUACGUUGGGAGGAGUGAUUUGGUGGUUCUUGAGUGAAAUCCAAUUUUUAAAACUAUGCAGUAAACCAACCACUCCAUUUCAUAACAAACUUCGUACGAACCUGAAUUGUCCAAUUUCAUGGACCAAUCGAUAUCGGAUUGAGUCCAAAACUUUGGGAGCAACAUAAUAUGAUGGGAGGAGACAUUUGGCGACUUUUGAGUGAAAU
rnacentral:lncRNA from 1 species